AGUCACGCUGUAAACGAUGUCGAUUUGGAGGUUGUUCCCUUGAGGAGUGGCUUCCGGAGCUAACGCGUUAAAUCGACCGCCUGGGGAGUACGGCCGCAAGGUUAAAACUCAAAUGAAUUGACGGGGGCCCGCACAAGCGGUGGAGCAUGUGGUUUAAUUCGAUGCAACGCGAAGAACCUUACCUACUCUUGACAUCCAGAGAAUUUAGCAGAGAUGCUUUAGUGCCUUCGGGAACUCUGAGACAGGUGCUGCAUGGCUGUCGUCAGCUCGUGUUGUGAAAUGUUGGGUUAAGUCCCGCAACGAGCGCAACCCUUAUCCUUUGUUGCCAGCACGUUAUGGUGGGAACUCAAAGGAGACUGCCGGUGAUAAACCGGAGGAAGGUGGGGAUGACGUCAAGUCAUCAUGGCCCUUACGAGUAGGGCUACACACGUGCUACAAUGGCGUAUACAAAGAGAAGCGACCUCGCGAGAGCAAGCGGAACUCAUAAAGUACGUCGUAGUCCGGAUUGGAGUCUGCAACUCGACUCCAUGAAGUCGGAAUCGCUAGUAAUCGUAGAUCAGAAUGCUACGGUGAAUACGUUCCCGGGCCUUGUACACACCGCCCGUCACACCAUGGGAGUGGGUUGCAAAAGAAGUAGGUAGCUUAACCUUCGGGAGGGCGCUUACCACUUUGUGGUUCAUGACUGGGGUGAAGUCGUAACAAGGUAACCA
rnacentral:rRNA from 1 species